rnacentral:rRNA from 1 species
CCUUGCCAGCCCGCUCAGAACUCAAAGGAAUUGACGGGGCCCGCACAAGCGUGGAGUAUGUGGUUAAUUCGAUGCAACGCGAAGAACCUUACCUGGUCUUGACAUCCCGGAGACCCUUAGGAAACUAGGGGGUGCUUCCAUCUGGAAGAAUCUGGAGACAGGUGCUGCAUGGCUGUCGUCAGCUCGUGUCGUGAGAUGUUGGGUUAAGUCCCGCAACGAGCGCAACCCUUGCCUUUAGUUGCCAGCAGUUCGGCUGGGCACUCUAAAGGGACUGCCGGUGUUAAACCGGAGGAAGGUGGGGAUGACGUCAAGUCCUCAUGGCCUUUAUGACCAGGGCUACACACGUACUACAAUGGCCGAUACAAAGGGCAGCGACACUGCGAGGUGAAGCCAAUCCCGUAAAAUCGGUCUCAGUCCGGAUUGGAGUCUGCAACUCGACUCCAUGAAGUUGGAAUCGCUAGUAAUCGUGGAUCAGCAUGCCACGGUGAAUACGUUCCCGGGCCUU